CCUACGGGGGGCAGCAGUGAGGAAUAUUGGUCAAUGGACGCAAGUCUGAACCAGCCAUGCCGCGUGCAGGAAGACGGCUCUAUGAGUUGUAAACUGCUUUUGUACGAGGGUAAAUCCCGAUACGUGUAUCGGGUUGAAAGUAUCGUACGAAUAAGGAUCGGCUAACUCCGUGCCAGCAGCCGCGGUAAUACGGAGGAUUCAAGCGUUAUCCGGAUUUAUUGGGUUUAAAGGGUGCGCAGGCGGCGAGUUAAGUCAGCGGUAAAAUUUCGGGGCUCAACCCCGACGAGCCGUUGAAACUGGCUUGC
rnacentral:rRNA from 1 species